rnacentral:rRNA from 1 species
UGCUCGGUGGAGAUUCUUAACAGCUAUGGUACCCUGACCAUACGAAGGUAGCAUAAUCAAUUGCCCCCUAAUUAGGGGCUGGAAUGAACGGUUCGACGAAAUUGUAACUGUCUCUUUUUAUUUCUAUCGAAUUUGUCUUUAGGGUGAAAAGACCCUAAUUUUAUUAUAAGACAAGAAGACCCUAAAAGCUUAGCUGAAUUUGUGGGUAUACCGGAAUAAGAUUUAGUUGGGGCAACUCUAGAAUAUUAAUCUUCUAGUAGAAUAUAAAUUAUUCAUAUUUGUGACCGUGAUAAAUUUAUCACAUCAAAGGUGAAGUUACUUUAGGGAUAACAGGGCACUUUCUUUUUUGAGUACAUAUCUAAUAAGAAGUUUGCUACCUCGAUGUUGGAUUAAGAUUUCCUAAGGGUGCAUCCGCUCUCAAGGUUGGCUUGUU